GCUACAGGAGGAACCUGAGGACCGAUAGGAAGAAACUGCCCGAGGGCUAGGAGAUGGAUUCGGAGAGCUUGGAGAAGCUGAGCUUCUUGAGCCGGCUGCUCAUGGGAUUGCCGCACUUUAGAUCUACUACUUUCACCAUGAUUAGCACCACAGGGUACGGAGACAGGACCAGUUUGUUGUUUUCUUUGAGCAGAUGAAGAUGCUUGUUUCAUGGAUUCUAUUUCUCGAGUCAUCAAGGAGCCAAUUGUGCCGGUUGUGCCGAUCUUGACAGAGCCUCCAUCAUCAUUGGUGGCAUCUUCUUUCUGAGGCAUCUGAUGCUGAUAUAAAAAAGGAACUUUGUCAGGUUGGUAAGUUUGGUUUUCACAGAGUUGCAUAGUUUUUACAACUGCUUUCGGUGAGAAAUUCUCAUAAAGUUUAAUGGAAAGUUAGUCUAUUCACCGCA